GAAGAACGCAGCGAAAUGCGAUACGUAGUGUGAAUUGCAGAAUUCCGCGAAUCAUCGAGUUUUUGAACGCAACUUGCGCCCGAGGUUCGUCCGAGGGCAUUUCCGUUAGAGCGUCACC
rnacentral:rRNA from 1 species